rnacentral:rRNA from 1 species
GAUGAACGCUGGCGGCGUGCCUAACACAUGCAAGUCGAACGAAGCACUUUUUUACGAUCCCUUCGGGGUGACGAAUUUGUGACUGAGUGGCGGACGGGUGAGUAACGCGUGGGAAACCUGCCUUGUACCGGGGGAUAGCAGUUGGAAACGACUGAUAAUACCGCAUAAGCGCACAGUAUCACAUGAUACAGUGUGAAAAACUCCGGUGGUACAAGAUGGUCCCGCGUCUGAUUAGCUUGUUGGCGGGUAAUGGCCCACCAAGGCGACGAUCAGUAGCCGACCUGAGAGGGUGACCGGCCACAUUGGGACUGAGACACGGCCCAAACUCCUACGGGAGGCAGCAGUGAGGAAUAUUGGGUCAAUGGGGGGAAACCCUGAUGCAGCGACGCCGCGUGAGCGAAGAAGUAUUCGGUAUGUAAAGCUCUAUCAGCAGGGAAGAAAAAUGACGGUACCUGACUAAGAAGCACCGGCUAAAUACGUG